rnacentral:rRNA from 1 species
UACGGGGGGAGCAAGCGUUGUUCGGAUUUACUGGGCGUAAAGGGCGCGUAGGCGGUCAGCACAAGUCAGUUGUGAAAUCUCCGGGCUUAACUCGGAACGGUCAACUGAUACUGUGCGACUAGAGUGCAGAAGGGGCAACUGGAAUUCUCGGUGUAGCGGUGAAAUGCGUAGAUAUCGAGAGGAACACCUGCGGCGAAGGCGGGUUGCUGGGCUGACACUGACGCUGAGGAGCGAAAGCGUGGGGAGCGAACAGG